CCCUUAGAUGUUCUGGGCAGCACGCGCGCUACAAUGGUCUUCGCAAACGGAUGCAUUCUCGAAGGAGAAUGCCAAUCUUGGAAUCUAUGCCUUGGUCGGGACAGUUGCUUGCAAUUUUUCGACUCGAACCAGGAAUUCCUUGUAAUCGUGAUUCAUCACAUCACGAUGAAUACGUCCCUGCCCUUUGUACACACCGCCCGUCGCUCCUACCGAUUGAACGUUCCGAUGAAUACCAUGGAUUGAGAGUCUGGAUGGGUUCGCCUAUUUCUGCUUCUCGAGAAGUGGAGUAAAUCUUAGCGUUUAGAGGAAGGAGAAGUCGUAACA
rnacentral:rRNA from 1 species